rnacentral:tRNA from 1 species
CAAGACCUAUAAGACCAAACCUUACAUCGCCUGAAUGCAACACAGACAUUUUUAUUAAACUAAGGCCUC